rnacentral:rRNA from 1 species
CACGAACCCGUACGAACGUUAUUCGGAAUUACUGGGCUUAAAGGGUUUGUAGGCGGCCUUGUAAGUCAGGUGUGAAAGCCCUCGGCUCAACCGAGGAACAGCGCUUGAUACUGCAAGGCUUGAGGGAGACAGGGGUAAGCGGAACUGAUGGUGGAGCGGUGAAAUGCGUUGAGAUCGGAAGGAACGCCGGUGGCGAAAGCGGUAUGCUGGAUCUUUUCUGACGCUGAGGCGCGAAAGCUGGGGGAGCGAACGGGAUUAGAUACCCUAGUAGU